UACGUAGGGGGCGAGCGUUGUCCGGAUUUAUUGGGCGUAAAGAGCGUGUAGGCGGCCAGGCAGGUCUGCUGUGAAAACUCGAGGCUCAACCUCGAGACGUCGGCGGAAACCAUCUGGCUAGAGUCCGGAAGAGGAGAGUGGAAUUUCGUGUGUAGGGGUGAAAUCCGUAGAUCUACGAAGGAACGCCAAAAGCGAAGGCAGCUCUCUGGGUCCCUACCGACGCUGGGGUGCGAAAGCAUGGGGAGCGAACAGG
rnacentral:rRNA from 1 species